GAUGAAGAACGUAGCGAAAUGCGAUACGUAAUGUGAAUUGCAGAAUUCAGUGAAUCAUCGAAUCUUUGAACGCAUAUUGCGCUCUCUGGUAUUCCGGAGAGCAUGCUUGUUUGAGUAUCAGUAAACACCUCAACUCCCUUUUCUUUUUUGAAAUUGGAGCUGGACUUGAGUGAUCCCAACGCUUUCUUCCAAGAAAGUGGCGGGUUGCUUGAAAUGCAGGUGCAGCUGAACUUUUCUCUGAGCUAUAAGCAUAUCUAUUUAGUCUGCCUAAAAAACAGAUUAUUACCUUUGCUGCAGCUAACAUAAAGGAGACUAGUUCUUGUGCUGACAGAUGCAGGAUUCACAGAGACAGCUUCGGCUGACUUUGUAAACUCGAUCUCAAAUCAAGUAAGACUACCCGCUGAACUUAAGCAUAUCAAUAAGCGGAGGA
rnacentral:misc_RNA from 1 species